GUCUGUUCAGUUCCAGGGGUCAGCCAGGGUCGUCGCUCAGACUUUGUCUUGCUGAAGGACUCAUAUAUUUUCCCCUAUAACGCCAGCAUCUGCGAUCACGCCAGGUGGAGUAAGAGUUUCCCUACAGAUGCAUCGAUCGGCAGAUACAGAAACCAGCUCUGCUCAAUUGAAUAUAAUUUUGGAGCAGAUUUCAGCUGUGUUGGAAACUAGCUGCUCCUCAAAGAGGCAAAAAGCACUGAUCGGGGCACCUAUGUGUUUAUCUGUAAUGAGGCAGAAAGUCAACUUAAACUCAAUGUCUUGUAUGCUCUGAAGGUGGACAAAGUGGAGACAGAAGACGUCACUUUAGACUGUACUGCGCUCAGUGACAAAGACGUGACGUGGCUCUUCAAUAACGGGACAGCUCUCCAUUAUGAAAAGGGUGGAGUAAUAACCCCUGGGAAAGGCUUCGAGGGCAGAGUUUCAGUGGAGAAGGAUUGCUUCAGGACCGGCAAUUUCUCCCUGACAAUCACUGACCUCCACAGCACAGAUGAGGGGGUUUACCGCUGUUUUGUAGACCAGGACACCACUGAAGGAUACCCGCACACGUACAAGCUGCAUGUCAACAAGAAACAGGACCAGACAGACUCCACCGGGACUGAAGCAUCUGAUUAUAAGACCAUCAUCAUCAUCAUCAUUUUGGCUCUUAUCGUGGUCAUCUUGAUCAUCGGCAUUUCAGUUUUGGGGAUUCUCUAUCACAAAGCAUGCAGUCAGAUUCAGAAGAGUGUACCAGAUAAUACACAAACUUCUGAAACUGAACACAUGCCUCUAUAUGACAACACAACACCAGCCAAUAACAUUGCUCCAUUAAUAGAGCUUUCUGUUCAGGAGAGCAACACAAUGAAACCUGACAGCAGCGUUAAGACAUUUUACACUGCAGGAUGAACCCUGUAAAAUGUCUGCCCUUCAAAAUCCAGCAUUACACCCUAUGAUUAGCUUCCUGAAAAAGUGAAUUUUAUUAUUAUGCUAAUUUUUAUAAGAAUUUAUUUGUUAUUUUUAUGAGAAAUGGGACCUUGUUUACAUCCCCAUGACAGUAAAUCUACAUUACCACAGCCAGCAUUCAGCUACAAAUAUAGCUCACAUGAGCAUUCAAUAGAGAAGGGGUGGGGGAACAAUACAGCAUACAGCGCAGUAAUAAUUUAAUUCACUAGAUGGCGGUACAGUUUAGAGGUUCAAGCAAAUAGUUCAACCUAAAAUAAAAAUUACCCAAUAAUAAUAACAUUUGUGGGUUAAGUAUUCAAUUAAAGAUAAAAGGGAUACACCUGCAGCUAUUGGGCAUGAUGCACACAUCAAUACAGCACAAGAUUGAGCCAUUGCACAACAAUAACUACUGUUUUUGCAUUACUGUAGGAGUAGGUUUAGGGUUGGGGUUGGUAAAGCACAAUGAAUCUUAUUCAUUUAUUAUUUUCCUUCAGCUUAGUCUAUUUAUCAGUGGUCACCACAGCGGAAUGAACUGCCAACUAUUCCAGCACAUGUUUUACACAGCAGAUGGCCCCACAGUGAACAAAGUCCUGCCCUCUUCUAAUAGCCAAUCACGAUUCUUUAUAGCCACACGUUCAUUUGGGGAAGCAAAACUACAUCUUCCUGUUAAAACUCUGGACCAGUAUUGUAUUUCUUUCACCAGUGAAAGCUCUUAAAGGUGUCAGCCUUCUGUUCUAUUAUUAUUUGCCAAUGUGUUAUUGUGUAUAUAUUUGCAUUAAUGUGCAUCAAAUUCAACGUACGAAUGUGCUUUAAUUUACGCAGAAAGCUUUGCGUGCAAUUUUCUGAUGCAAUAUUACUUGUGUGAAAGUAAACUCUAAAAACGUG